rnacentral:snRNA from 1 species
UGAUAUAAGGGUAACCUGGCUGCAACAUUCAUUGCCCCAUUGAGUGCCAGGGUUGAUAUGGCUGAUCUGGUUGACUAGGCGAGUGUGCCCUUUCUCCCUCAUCACUCCAUGUGUGUUCCUCCUGAAGCUGCACACUUAGUUGAAGAGGAUGAUCUUCCCUGAUAGUGGAGGACCAUUUUUCAGUCAAUGGUAUAUGAAUAGCUGAGCUCUGCUUCUAGAACCUCCAAACAAGCUCUCAAAGUCCAUUGUAGGACAAAUGUAAGGACAGUCAAACUUUCAAGACUUUCAAGACACAUCCAACUGAGGUCCUGAACAUGGCAGUCUGCCUUUU